CGCUUCUAUGACCUUUUCCCUCAACGCCGCUAUCCAUUCAUGCUUUUAGGCUGCAGGUUAAACCGGAAGUUAAACUCUCUAGCUUGAUCCUUUUUUUUUAUUUAUUUAUUUCCAUCAUCCGACUCUCCGGGAUGCUGAGCGAGCGGGCGGGGCCGUUUUUCCUUGCAGUGCCCUGCUGUGGCGUGAUGUAGCAGGACGAACAGAGAGGACACGGAGGGAAGGGAGCUACGGUUGUUGCUUCUAAGUAAACGUGUUCAAAUCGUCAUCAAUCUGUAAGCACAAUGGAUUUAGGACCGAAAAUUCAGUUUUAACCUCAACCGCAUUGGAGCCGCCCGUACAAGCCCGACUGGUAGGGACAUCUUCAUUCUCCUCACUAAGGAUACUGGCGUGUGGAGAAAUAUUUUCCUUUCGGAACCGGUGGAAAUAGGUGUUGUGUCUCGUGGAAGUAAACACACCUCACCAUGGCGUGGCCCUGUAUCAGCAGGGCGUGCUGCAUGGCCCGCUUCUGGAACCAGCUGGACAAAGCUGACAUCGCCGUGCCUUUGGUCUUCACCAAGUACACGGACGUCUCUGAGAUGCAGCAUAUCCAGCUGCAGCCGCCGCUCCACCCUCCCCAGGCCCGGGUCGCCAUAGAAACGCAGCCGUCUCGCACAGGGACCCGCACCCCCAUCGCGGUGCGCGGGCCGCGGAGGUGCGUCUCCGAGGAGCGCGUGUGCAGUUCAGUGAUGCGCGAGGACUUUAAGCACUGGAAAGUGCGACCCGAACCGAGCUGUAAACCGAAGAACGAGUACCACGGACCGGAAACACCGUUUAAUAGCGAGACUCAGUACCAGAAGGACUUCAAGCCCUGGCCCAUUCCGAAAAGGUACGACCACCCCUGGAUACCCAAACCACCACCGACCAUCUCCGCCGGCAGCGACCGGCCACCGGACAGGUCCAGGCACGCGAAGCAGCACGCGGCGCUGGAUGCGGAAUGCGGUGUGGAGAAGAGCGCUAUCGCCGACAAGGUGCAGGAGAAAGACCUCCUGCAGGGCCAAGAGAGGAAAAAGCGGCCCAAAAAGCAGGAGGGGGAGAAGAAGGUGGUCCUGAAGGUUGAAGGAGAGGGCAGAGGGAGGGCGGCAGUGGAUGCACUGAACAGACAGAUCAAAGAGGAGAUCACAGCUGGCAGCUCGUACAAAACUGAGUUCAAGGCUUACAGAGACGUGAAGCCAGUAAAGAUGAUCCGCGCCAAGUCUCAGUACCUGCCGCCAGACGAGAAGACAAGCCUAGAGACCAGCUACAGCGCCACCUUCAAGGCACAAGCCCCGCUGCAGCCUGCUGACAACAAGGCCCAGGAGAGGAGGAGGAUACGCAGCUUGUACAGCGAGCCUUACAUGGACCCCAGCAAACAGGUUGACAGGUAUAGUGUCCCACGCUCUAAACCCAAAAGGUCUGGAGCCACAGCAGCAGGCCAGGGCAAGCCCGUGAAGAAAGCCAAAGACAAGCAGAGCUCCGCGCUGAGGGGCUCAAAGAAGAAAACCUCGGAAAACCAGCCCGAGAACCAGCCGGCGGUGGGGGACAAGGAGAAAAAUCGCUAUAGUAACGAGUGGGUGGAAGCAUCUUCUUUCCUGUCCCCGCCAUUUGAUGCCACCCACCACUACCCCCACUCUGCUCGCCUCCAUCUUCAGGUUGCCAUGGCUACUGGCUGCCUGGCCAACCAAUGGAUGACUCUUGUUGCAUGAGCCCAGUUACAAGCAACUCUGAAGGGUUGGCUUCGAUCAGCUGAGCAGAUUGCUUUGUUGAGUUUAUCAAGGAUUUCUUUCUUUCUUUCCUUUUUUGUUUUUUUGUUUUUUUUGUUUGUUUUUUGAGAAAAAAUGAUCAAAUUGGCUCAUUGGAUAAUAUUUCUGCUCAAAAAUGAAUGAAAAUCUAAAAAUCUUUGAUAAAUGUUUUGCUUAGUUAUUCGUGGUCCAUUGCUUGUUCUGUACCUGCUCUGUUAUCUUUGCUGCAGUUUUCUCGUCUGUCUUUGGCAACAUCACCAUCACAUUAUUGGUAAAUGUGAUUUUGUAAUCAGUCCCUUUGAAUUCUGUUGCAGAUUACGCAUGAUUUUCUUUAAUUCUUUGGAAGGAAAAAGCAAAGCUCGUUCAUACCGUGGUAGUUUGUAACGCCCAGUUUGUUGCCAACAAACCAUCUUGGUCACUUUAACCUGAUGAGCAGCAGUCGUUUGCAUAGUCGAGGAAGCUCUCGAUGAAUAAGUAACCUUUAACAUUAAAGUUAUGAUAUUUCUCAUAAUCAGGGCAGGAUGAGCUCAGAGGAGCUUAAAAAUGUUGUUUUAAGUGGCAGGUUUGUAUCCCGUCUGCAGAGUACACAGCUGUCAGACUUUCUAGCCAUAAUUCAGUGUAAUCAUCUUCAGCCGUCUUCACUAACAAGACUGAUCCUUCUCUGAGGAAGCAUUGAUGCGUUAGCAUUAGUAUGCACUCAGAUACACACCUCCCUUUGGCUUUUCUUUGUUAUGUAGUCUGCCGAGGGCGACCGUAGCCAAUGUGAUUAGACUACCAUGGGGAGAUAGCUCAUAUUGCAGCUUAAUAGCACUUUUCAUAUCACCUUGGAAGAGGGGGGCCAGAUGGAUGAAACACUGAUUUGUGUUCCAGGUAAAUCACAAACAGCUCCCUCCCAUGUGUCAGAUUACCUUUAUCUUCCGCUAAUAUCAUUUUUAUUCUGAUGCAAACCCGUCGUGGUGCAGUGAUGUGAUGUCUGUGUGGCUUAGAUUCUUCUGCUCAUUACUCUGUUUCUGGAUCCAUGUUUGAUAUGUUUUGUUAGAAUUUUAAGGUCAAGCAGGAUGUUGAUGCUGAAAUGUUGGUUCUCUACUGGAAUUGUGGUUUUUCUUCUGAUGAUUAAAAUUCUUGAUGGUACAAAUGUUCUCAGAGAGAAAAUAGAACAGGAAGUAAGUUGUGAUGUAACUCUUGGUCCAUUAACAUGACUGUCGCUACAAUCUCCCUUUGUUUCUGUCUUAUGUUUGCUUAUACAGGCUAACAGGAUUACAUGUCGGCUGGGUCCCACUCUUCACUUAGUUGAAAGCAUCCACAUAGGAUGGAUUUACUGCCUGGCCAAAAAGAAAAGAAAGAAAAAAGCCACCCCUUGGAUUUAACUAAGCUAAAAGGUGAAAACCUCUGUUUCUCUGAUGUAGAAGGUCAAACUAUCACUCUGCAUCAGGUGAACAAAAUGACCAAAAGCAAAACACAGCAAAGCUGCACUUUGUGACAGGAAUCUAUAGAACUUGGUUAUGAGGUCAUGAGUAAUGUGCAGACUUUAAAAUGACAGUUCCUGUUAAUCGUUGUGGGAUUCAAAUGUAAACUUGGAUUCUUACUGCAAAGAAGCUUUUAUGUGCCCGUGAACUACUAAAAACGAAGAUGUGUAAUAUAUUCACUGCUUUUCCCGUUUCGAAGGAAGCUUUUCUGCUGCUGCAGAUUUGCUUCUUAGGUUCAGUUCCACAAGUUAAUCCACAAUAAUUAGGUCUGUUUUGAUUUGUUAAGGUAGGAUUCACACGUACACAUUUCAGGUAUCCGUUAUUUAUUUCUCCUUCACUGUAAAUGCAGCAGUGUCUCAUGUUGCUGCAUCAUGCUGGGUCCGUUGCUUUGUCUUGCUAGCAAAGCUUUUUCAAGCAGCAGCGGCACCAACCUAUCAAAUCGUCUGAACAAUCAUGUCCAAACUCGUCUCUGCAAUUCCAAACAUCAGGCCCGCCCAUUAUCAAGCGUUAAAGCAUCGAGUCUGUGUGAAAUCUGCUCUUUUCUUUCAUGUUGCUUGUUUUUUUAUCAGGGAUGAUUGAAAAUGACUAAGUUAGUACCUUAAAGUUAUGGUCAGGGGUUGCAUCAGUUGAUCAGGUCUAGAUUCAGCAAGAUUAUGUGACCAAAAGAACAAAUAUACUGAAUGGAAAAGACUUCACACUGCAGUUAGACUCUGCCAUCAUCAGUACGAGACCUCAGUGAGAUAUUAAUGCAGCUCUUAGUGGAAAUAAAUAUAGUGACACUGCAUAAGCUUAUCGUGAUGAUGAAAAAAUGAAUGUGUGCUGGAAUCAUAGCUGAAGGUGGUGUUAAAUUCCUGGAGUGUGGGGCUUUUUUUUUUUUUUUUUUUUUUUUGGCCACAUGGAGAGAAAUAUCUUAUUUCAGGUUAGAAAUGCACUGUACAGUCUUAUCACAGGUCAACCUGUCAUGCUGCAUCAAACACACACACACACCUAACUGUUUCCUCUGCUACUCAGCAUCUUCCCCUCCAUUCAGAAUGAACAGCUGUUUUGUUUCUGCUUGGCAUCUGUGAAAGCAGCAACCAUCACCACCACCAUAACAACCCAAGCUGACCCCAUCAGGGAUGAGGGCCUGACUCAUUAGCAUUUUGCAGCCUUUGAUUGGUUGGGUGGGCGGGGUGGCAGGGAGGGCACUUGGUUAUGUAAUACAAUGGGCACGGGAGGGCUUGUAGGGGGCAGUAAAUGUAAACAGUGCGUAGCACACACACACCUGGUGCUAUAUUUGUGUUAUUAUUAGGCACAUAAGGAUAGAAAGUGUAGUAAAGAAAGCUCUGUCUUGGAUGAGAAGAAAAAAAAAUUGUGACGUGCUUGUGUUCUAUCUGCUUGCUCAUAUUUAAUGAAACAUUACAAAUAAAUUUAAAAAAGUAGAAAAAGCAGUGUCUUCUUUGCUUCUUUUUUGUUAAAGAGGAAUGGCUGAGAGUUAGCGGUUGCAGGUAUCUGUCAGCGUUUCUCCUGUCCCAGUCUUCGUCUUUGUGACAGACAACAUUUAUUAAUUCUAUCCAAAUGGAAGAGAAUUUUGCUCUUGCAGCCUCUUUCUAUGCUUAUCUAAGAUCACACCGCAUUCUGGCAUGAGCCAUGACAUCCUUUCCGGGCCCUGCAUGUUUGCUCUCACGUGAGAACUGAAGAAUAUAUUAUUUUUGUGCAUCGUGUCUAAAUAUAUUCCAAGACCUCAUCUGAUUUAUAGAGCAACAUGCAGGGGAAAGGAUGUCAGGAAACUUAUUCCAGAAUCAAUAUGUCAUGUGCUUCUUUGGCUUUUAUUAGCUUAAAAGCAUUAAAAAGGCAACCUAAAACACAUAUGUAUGAUGCUACACUUGCUGAGGUCACCUUGUUAUAUGUGUUAGAAUAUGUGUAGAGGAUUUCACAUUUGGAUGAUGCUGUGUCCAGUCUGUCCUGUGCUAAUGAGUGACAUUCUGAUUCAUUUGAAGGGUUGUGCUUAAACAGUACCACUACAUACAACUCUGCCAGCCAAUCCGAGAUAUUGGCUGGGUGCAGACUCUAAAGCAACACCUGUGGG